UACGUAGGGUGCGAGCGUUAUUCGGAUUUACUGGGCGUAAAGCGUGCGCAGGCGGUCUGUUAAGACCGAUGUGAAAUCCCCGGGCUCAACCUGGGAACUGCCUUUGUGACUGCACGGCUAGAAUCUGGCAGAGGGGGGUAGAAUUCCACGUGUAGCAGUGAAAUGCGUAGAUAUGUGGAGGAAUACCGAUGGCGAAGGCAGCCCCCUGGGCUAAGAUUGACGCUCAUGCACGAAAGCGUAGGGAGCAAACAGG
rnacentral:rRNA from 1 species